rnacentral:rRNA from 1 species
GACGAACGCUGGCGGCGUGCUUAACACAUGCAAGUCGAACGGUGAAGCGCCUUCCUUUUUGGUGGGUGUGGAUGAGUGGCGAACGGGUGAGUAACACGUGAGUAACCUGCCCCCUUCUUCUGGAUAACCGCAUGAAAGUGUGGCUAAUACGUGAUAUUCUGGGUCUGUCGCAUGAUGGGUCUGGGAAAGAUAUCGUUUCGAUGGGGGAUGGGCUCGCGGCCUAUCAGCUUGUUGGUGGGGUGAUGGCCUACCAAGGCGGUGACGGGUAGCCGGCCAGAGAGGGUGGACAGACACACUAGGACUGAGACACAGACGAGACUACUACGGGCGGCAGCAGGGGGGAAUAGUGCACAAUGGGCGCAAGCCUGAUGCAGCGACGCCGCGUGAGGGAUGGAGGCAUUCGGGUUGUGAACCUCUUUCGCCAGUGAAGCAGGCCUGCCUCGUUUGUGGGUGGGUUGACGGUAGCUGGAUAAGAAGCGCCGGCUAACUACGUG